rnacentral:rRNA from 1 species
GUUGGGUUAAGUCCCGCAACGAGCGCAACCCCUACCGCCAGUUACCAGCAAAUAAAGUUGGGGACUCUGGCGGAACUGCCGGCGACAAGCCGGAGGAAGGCGGGGAUGACGUCAAGUCAUCAUGGCCCUUAUGUCCAGGGCUACACACGUGCUACAAUGGCCGGCACAAAGCGAUGCGAGUCCGAGAGGGCAUAGCGAACCGCCGAAAGCCGGCCGUAGUCCGGAUUGAAGUCUGAAACCCGACUUCAUGAAGCUGGAAUCGCUAGUAAUCGCGCAUCAGCAUGGCGCGGUGAAUACGUUCCCGGGCCUUGUACACACCGCCCGUCACACCAUCCGAGUUGGGGGCACCCGAAGCCGGCAGUCUAACCGCGAGGGGGACGCUGUCGAAGGUGCGCCGGGCGAGGAGGGUGAAGUCGUAACAAGGUAGCCGUACUGGAAAGUGCGGCUGGAUCACCUCCUUUCU